rnacentral:rRNA from 1 species
GUAGGUGGCAAGCGUUGUCCGGAAUUAUUGGGCGUAAAGCGCGCGCAGGCGGUUCUUUAAGUCUGAUGUGAAAGCCCACGGCUCAACCGUGGAGGGUCAUUGGAAACUGGAGAACUUGAGUACAGAAGAGGAAAACGGAAUUCCACGUGUAGCGGUGAAAUGCGUAGAGAUGUGGAGGAACACCAGUGGCGAAGGCGGCUUUCUGGUCUGUAACUGACGCUGAGGCGCGAAAGCGUGGGGAGCAAACAGGGAUUAGAUACCCUGGUAGUCCACGCCGUAAACGAUGAGUGCUAAGUGUUAGGGGGUUUCCCGCCCCUUAGUGCUGCAGCUAACGCAUUAAGCACUCCGCCUGGGGAGUACGGCCGCAAGGCUG